UAUGCUCGCCUUGAAAAAGGCAAGUAAACUUGUCGAAACGCCGACUCCUGCUUUCACCUAGUUCUCGUUUUGCUCAUCGUCUUGAAAUUCCAUCUCCUGCCUUCCCCGUGGUUCCCCAGUGGCU
rnacentral:lncRNA from 1 species